ACCUGGGUGGCUCAGUUGGUUGAGCCUCUGACUUUGGCUCAGGUCAUGAUCCCACGCACGGUUUGUGAGUUCGAGCCCCACAUCAGGCU
rnacentral:tRNA from 1 species